AAUUCAAACAACAUUACUAAUCAGAAGACGGGUGCCGGAAUCAUCCGUAAGAUACCGGGUUGGAUACGAAAAGGUGCAAAACCAGGAGGCAAAGUCGCCGGCAAAGCUUGUAAAAUUUGCUCAUGUAAAUACCAGAUUUGCAGCAAAUGUCCUAAAUGUCAUGACUAAAGUUAGGCCUUGAGACUAUGUACUUGUGCUGGUGUGAGUUUAAUUUUGAGAGUAAAGGGAAAGUUAUGAAUAGCCUAAUAUAAUUCUAUUACUAUGUUUUCUUAGUAAUUCUUAUUGUUGAAACUUGGAACAGGUCUUUGGGUCAAAAUGUACCUCUUGUCUUGUAGUCUUUCAACUGUAUAGUAUUGUACUGUAUUUUUCUUUAGCCACUUGAUAUCAAAUCCGAUUAAAUGUAAUUUGCGUUGCAUAUGUUUUACCACAGUCAGACCUUUCUAUAACAACAUUCGUAUAUAACAGCCUUUCAUUAUAAAAAUCAAUUUUUUCUUGGAAUCGAUUUUUUAUGUUAUGCUAUAAUAUAUGUUUUCUUUAACAGCACUUCACUAUAGCAGCAAAAAAAUAUCGAAACAAACGAGAUUGUUAUCGAUGGGUUUGACUGUACAAGGAAACGGGUUCUUAUAAAAAGGUUUAUCAUUUUUAGAGUUCGAACCUAAGAUCUUUGAUUAAGUUGGGUAUAGAAAUAACCUUUAUCCGUAGUAUAUAUACCGGGAUCUUGUAUCAGCGAUUAUAUAAUAAUUACUUGAUCCCAAAGACAUUAUAGGAGCUUAAUUUGGAAGAGCAAUUUGCUCGACAGAUAAAUUAAUUUCUGUCUCCUUGCCCUCUCUUACAAUAAUGGGGCGGUAGUUGAUUAAGCCAUAUUCAAUAUUUACAGCAAAGAUUACAUAUAGGAUACCUCUAACAUGAAUCCAGCACUCCUUUACAAGCUAAUUAUUAAUUUUGCCUUGAACAGUAUAAAGUUUAAUCCGAAUACUAUUCCGUAAUCAUAUAUUAGUCUCAUAGAUAUACUAUUCCGCAAAUUUAACCCCUUUUUAUAAUGAACAUUGUUAAUCAGUAACUUGUGCAAUAUAAUGCCCUUUUACAGUCACAGAUCUCUCUCCUAGUAGGGUUAAAAAAAACAAAGAAGAGAAAUGGCAAUGCAAAGAUGAGAGAAAGCACAGUCACCUGCUUUUUGCGGAUGACCUUAUACUAUUCGCUCGUGCUGACCUAGACAAUGCCAACACUAUCAUUAAUAUAUUCAACUCUCUCCACAUCCAAUCAGCAAAAAAUUUAUUUCUCUAAAUCAAAACUUUUGUUUUUCAAAAACGUACCGCUCGACACUCAAGAAUGCCUUACCAGUGCCCUAAACAUCCGCAAGGCUACCAACUUUGGUAAAUAUCUAGGAUUCCACCUAACUAACAAUUCCCCCAAAGGCAAAGACUAUCAAUUCAUAAUUAAUAAAAUGAAUAACAAGCUCACAGGAUGGAAAGCAAAACUCUCAACAUGGCAUGUAGAACUACCCUCAUACACUCUAUACUAGCCACAAUUCCAAACUGUUCCAUGCAAAAUAACCUACUGCCAAUCUCUGCUAGGAACCACAUAGAUCGAAUCCAACAAAACUUCCCAUGGGGUUCAACUACAGAAAAAAGAAAAGUCCACCUUGUUAAUUGGGAGACUUUAACCACUCAGAAAGAGCUCGGAGGACUAGGGCUUUAUAAAACCAGUGAAAAGAAUUAUGCAAUGCUAGCAGGACUACUUUGGCGAUUCCAUAAGACCAGUCAAUCACUAGGGGUAAAACUUCUGCAAGCAAAAUACGUCCAACAUAGACGAGUAGACACACUCGGCAAAACCUGCUCUUUCAUAUAUUUGGAAAAGUAUGUCCAAAGCCAAUUCUCUAUUCCGUGCAGGGCUUUCCUAGAACAUAGGAGAUAGGGAAAAAAUAAACCUCUGGCAUGACAACUGGAUCCCUAAUAAUACCUGUUUAAAAUAUUCAAUUCCAGGGCCUCUACAAUACAUGAAGGAACAAUAAACAGUGUCUUCAAUCCUUACAAAUCAUUCAUGGAAUUGUGAUACAUUAUCUCUACCUACUACACCCUAAUACCGUACACAAAAUCAACAAGAUCUACAUCCCUUUCUCACAAAAACCUGAUCAAUCCCUCGGUUCACCCCUUGAAAACUUUACCACAAAGUCAGCCUACCUACUACAACUACAAAUCAAUAACCUAAUAAUGCCACCAAACACCACCAUUAACACUUGGAUCUAGCAACUAAAGUGUUUGAGCAAGCUGAAAUACUUCAUGGGGUUACUUGUGCACCACAAGUUACCUACCAAAACAUUCCUAUUCAAAAAACAUAUACUCCAAAGUGACCUUUGCCAAUUCUGUCCAACAGAAGUAGAAGCCAUAUACCACAUCAUCUUCUCGUGAAAUAAUUCAUACCACAUAUAAACUUUGUUCAAUCUCCAAAAACCACAAACGCACAACUCCACCUUAAUACCUUUCAUACUGUAAAAUACUUGGCUUAAUAGAAACUCUAACCUAUUUAACCACACAACCUCAAUCACUUUCCAAACCAAAAUUAAGACCCAAGUUGCUGAGUUCAUCUCAAUCGCACAAAUCACUGCGAACCAAAAACCUAAGCUUAACAUACCAAUAAGAUGGCACCCACCUACUAACCAUUACAAGCUAAACAUUGAUAGAGCUUAUGAUCAAAAUAAUCAAAAGAGUGGCACUGGUGUAAUCAUCAAAGACCAUAAUAUAUGACAAUUGGAUAGUGGGAUUCGCGCACAAGGAAGCUACAACAGACGCUCUCCACGCUGAACUGCUAGCACUAAUGAUUGGACUAGAUCUAUCCUUCACAAAAAAUCUCUUUCCCACUGUAGUGGAAACAAAUUCACAGGUAUUAUGGAACUUAUUUAAAGGCGAACAACUUCGCUACCCACAUCUUCUUCAUGACUGCAGUUUUCUUCUUGAUGCUAUUGGAGUGGCAGAAAUGACGCAUGUUUACCGAGAAGGCAACACUGUAGCAGACACCUUGGCCAAGUAUGGAAGCAUCAGAGAACAUAUAUCAACGGAAGAAGAUAACAUUAUAUACUUGGAAACACCUCCUGCUUUUAUUUUACUAGUUUUUAUUAAAGACAAAUUAGGGUAAACCGCAAUGCGGUCUAUCCCUAUGCUAUGUAAUAACUAAAUUGUUCCUAUGCUUUUAAAAUAAUAGACUCUCCAUUCUUCGGCAAAAAGAAAAGAUGAGAGAAAGCAAUGGCAAAGCGAGAAAUUUCAUCAAGAAUGUUAAGAAGUGUUCCACAUUCAAUAUAAUGUAUACAAAGUAAUAUUUGACCUAUAUACACAGUACAAUUCUCAAGCAAAAGGUGUUUAACUGGCCUCCCUUGACCUAUGUAGCUCCAGCAUUGGAAAAAAGUGCAACCAAUUUACAAGGAAUUGUUAGUGUAUUUUAAAUUCCCUAAUACAUGGGCGGAACUAGGUAGCGGGAAUGAGGUUCAACGGAACCCUCUUCACCGAAAAUUACACCGUAUAAGAUUAAAAAAAUUCAAUAUAUAUUAUAAGGUAUUGAAUCUCCUUAACAUUUUUAGGUAUUUACUCUUUUUAAA
rnacentral:lncRNA from 1 species